UGGGGGUUCGGCCAAUCGGCAGGCCGCCGAGCUUUGGCCUCGGAGACGCGGGUUCGAAUCCUGCACCCCCAG
rnacentral:tRNA from 1 species